rnacentral:rRNA from 1 species
UGGGGAAUUUUGGACAAUGGGCGAAAGCCUGAUCCAGCAAUGCCGCGUGUGUGAAGAAGGCCUUCGGGUUGUAAAGCACUUUUGUCCGGAAAGAAGUCCUUGGCUCUAAUACAGUCGGGGGAUGACGGUACCGGAAGAAUAAGCACCGGCUAACUACGUGCCAGCAGCCGCGGUAAUACGUAGGGUGCAAGCGUUAAUCGGAAUUACUGGGCGUAAAGCGUGCGCAGGCGGUUUGCUAAGACCGAUGUGAAAUCCCCGGGCUCAACCUGGGAACUGCAUUGGUGACUGGCAGGCUAGAGUAUGGCAGAGGGGGGUAGAAUUCCACGUGUAGCAGUGAAAUGCGUAGAGAUGUGGAGGAAUACCGAUGGCGAAGGCAGCCCCCUGGGCCAAUACUGACGCUCAUGCACGAAAGCGUGGGGAGCAAACAGGAUUAGAUACCCUGGUAGUCCACGCCCUAAACGAUGUCAACUAGUUGUUGGGGAUUCAUUUCCUUAGUAACGUAGCUAACGCGUGAAGUUGACCGCCUGGGGAGUACGGUCGCAAGAUUAAAACUCAAAGGAAUUGAC